AUUUACCUAACUAAUUAAUAGGAUUUCUUAUUUUCAGAUUGUUUCAGAAGAUUAUAAUAUUUCAACAAUGGUUAUAGAUAGCAAACAUCUCAUUUGUAUUAUGAAACGAGUCAAGCAUUCAUAUUUUUGUAAAUGGGAUAGCUAUUUGCAAAAUUUCAGGAAGAAGAAAAAGGAAGUCUUUAGCACUUGAACCUAAUUUGCAUUUUUAGAUUAUCUACUGCUGCCUAUUUUAUUUGCAUAUUUAUUUUGCGUAGAUGAAGCUUUUAUGAAGAUUUUGUAAGUCUGAGAGAAGUUCAAGUAGAAGCAAAGUAGCCAGCUGGGAAAUCUCCAUUUUAAGCAUAAAAAGUAUCUAAAUCUGGAAUGAAAAUGUACCCAACAAAUGAAAUGUUCUAUGAGUGCUUCAGUCCAGAAGAAUACAAUAAUUUUCAGUUUUGGCGUGAACCCAUAAUGGAAAUCACCCUCGAAGAUUUUGAAUUACGUGAUGUGAUGGAUAAAGACGAAACUGUUUUAAGUCAAUAUGAUUCUUUUCUGUAUUGGCGAGAUCCUAUUCCUGAUUUAGAUGAACUGUAAAAACAAUUGAAUAUCUUGCUUUUACCAAGAUUAAUAUAAUUCAGUAUUUAUGUAUUUAAGUGAAAUACAUUAUGCAAAUUGCAGUUAAGCACAAUUAGUUUGAUUCUGAAAGCAUAAUAGCUGAAACAAUAUAAUAAUGCGCUUGAAUUUAUUAUAAUAUAUACAGAUAUUAACAUAAAUAUAAAAAGUAAUCAGAUACAAAGCAAAUUUUCAUGUGAAUGUUUUAGAAAAUUUAUGUAAAUAUAUAUUACAUGUUGUCAAAUAUCCCUUAUUACAAUACUUGUAGCCAAAAACAAUUGUAUAAGUAAUGCAUUAUCCUAGAACAUUUAAAAAUUUUCUCCCAUGUUCCAAAAUUAUUUGAGUAAUUUUUUCUUAUAUGACCAUUUGCUGUAAUUAAUUUUCUGAUCUUAGUAUUACUUGAUGUAAUUAAGAUAAUUUAUUUUCUUUGAUAUUUUUGAUAAAAUGUCAGUGAUAGACAUUUUCAUUAUCAUCAAAUGAUUUAAUUUUAGAGCUGAAAAAUUUAGAAAAUUUUCAUUGUCAUGACCUUAUAUCUAAACAGUGAUCAUAACUGACAUGACAGUGGUUAAAUAUUUUAUAAUAGUUAGCAUGAGAUUUAUAUGGCAUUCUUUUGAUUAUUUUCAUUAUUGUGUGUUUUAAGAAGUGUAAUUAUUUGAUUACCUUAUGUAUGUUUUACUGUAGUCAAUAAAAAAGUUUAUAAAUAUGUUGUGUUUUAUCUAUAAUUGUAUAUAUGGUAUAAAAUAGAGAAAUGCAAGGGGUUAAAAAAACACUUCAGCUCUAAAAUUAAAUAAAUUCAAUGUAGCAUUGAUUUUAUUUAAAAUAAUUUCCAAUAUGAGAAGAAAUUUUUCAUAAGCGCAAGCAUUUGUCAUAAUUUGUUGAUAAGUAGAACCUUUGCAUAAGAAUUAUAAACCUUUGGGUUAAUAAAAAAAGUAGCCUUUGAAAUUGCAAUUUUUCCCCUUGCCAUGUAUUGAAUAAGAGAUUAAAAACAGUGCAAAUAUUUUUCAAAUAAUUCAAUAAUAGUCAUCAAGAAGUAAGUUUCCCAUUAAGAAAUGGAAACAAGGUGGCUGGGAAAUGGACUCCUGUAGUAUGUAAAAGUCUGCAAUUCUGUAUUGUAAAUGAAUUGUACAUAAGGUGAAAUGAUAUGCAUAACAUUAAAUAUUAGAGGUUUUUUAGUAAAAAAAGAUGACAUUUUCAUUUAUAGCAAAGAGAUGCAGCAGAUUUAUAACAACUGUUAGAAAAAUUAAGAUAUUCUCCUGUAACAUAUUUGUCUUAUGUCUUCAUUAGGUCAUUUAAAGAACAAUGUAACUGGCAGGGCUGCUUAUUGAUAGAUCAAUGAUUCAUCGACCGAAAAAAAAAAGCAUCACAUUCAAUUAAAAGUACAAAAUUAACAUGUAUAAUUAGUACUUGUUUUAUUAUACUGAUGUCAUGUAUGCAUAAAAUUUUAAUAGUAACUGAAGAUCUUGCUGGGCAUAAAAAUGAUAGUGUAUUCUACUGUUAGAAAUGCUAUGUCUAAUGAUUUGUUAACUACUAUGAUAUAGUAAUCAUAUUUUUUUAUUUAUUAGAAUUUAAAAUGUAUGAAAUGAGUUCAACUAUUCAGCUGAGAAAUAUAUCAUGUGCAGACAUUAUAAGAGUAGAUAUAUUUAUAAAUCAUCUGAUGAAAUUUUUUAAAACUACUGUGGUUAAAAAACUGGUUCUGAGUACAAGUCUCACUUUUAAGAGGUUGUACACACAUGGUAGUGGACGAAUGGAGAAGUAUGGAAAAGACACUUUGCAAAUGUUUGAACAUGCAUCAGCACAUUUUGUAAGAAUAAGUAUUAUGAGAUUUAUGUGAGUAAAACUCCAGCAAAAAUGUAUAGCUAUAAAAUAGAGCAGCAGAUGAACUGUUUUACCAAACUGUUUCAAGUUUGGUAAAUCUGCGUAAUUCACAAUAUGCUGAAACAAAUUAAUGCAAAGGAAACUGUAUCUUAAAUAUACAUAUAGGAAUGGUUUAAACAUUUUUUAUUAUGGAUGAGAUUAUCUGAAGAUGUUGCUCAAAAAACAUUGAAAAGGUGAAGAUAUUAACUAUGAACCAUUGCCUUACAGUGCGAAUGAUAAAAGAACUUGAUGUAAAUCAUGAAAAUGUUCUGACAGAGAAUUUGACCAAGCAGAAGGUUUGCUGCUGUUUUAUAUUCUAAGAUUUAUCGGAUCACAUGCAGGCUCAUCUUGACAGUUGGAGAGACAAAACAUACUUUCUCAAAUAUACUUCCUUUUUCAACACUUAAGGCUAGGAAUAGCCCAGUCACAAUUCUCAAAGUGAGAUAAUGUUUCAGUCUCAGAAAUCAAGAAUAAAAGACAGUACUUAUUCAUAAAGAAAUUUCUUCCAGAACAGCAUUGAAUGCCAACACAUACAAGGAUGUUGAAGCAAAUUUAUUGCUAAGGACCCAUUGUAUACAUCCAAAAUAUGUUGUGAUGUUCUUUGUGCAUGAUAAUGAUCAGCCACAUUUGGCCCCCAUCAUAAAACAGUUUAUCUAUACAGGAGUUGUAGCUGUCGAUCAUGCACUACCAUUACUCACCUGAUCUUGCUCCAGCCCUAAAAAGAGAAUGAUUUUCGGAUACUGUAGACAUUCAAGUCUACAAUGAUGAGGGUUCUACAUGCAAUACCAAAGCAACUUUACCUGCAUUUUCCAGGAAUUGCUCAGUAAUUGUCAAUAUGUCAAAUAAUAUAAAAUGCCUUUCUUGAUUUAGGAAAACUUUUGUUUAUCAGUACUUCCACCAAACAUUUUAGUCAUACUUUCUCAAAAAAUCAUAUGGCUGGGAUUAAUUUUGAAACAGUACUUCAUUAUUUUUAAGAGAGGAGUAAAAUAAUAUAUGUGAGGAUGGAUCUAAAAAAAAAAAAAAAAAAAA